rnacentral:rRNA from 1 species
CCUACGGGUGGCAGCAGUGAGGAAUAUUGGUCAAUGGACGCAAGUCUGAACCAGCCAUGCCGCGUGCGGGAAGACGGCUCUAUGAGUUGUAAACUUCUUUUGUACGAGAACAAAAGCAGGUACGCGUAUCGGUCUGAGAGUAUCGUACGAAUAAGGAUCGGCUAACUCCGUGCCAGCAGCCGCGGUAAUACGGAGGAUUCGAGCGUUAUCCGGAUUUAUUUGGUUUAAAGGGUGCGUAGGCGGUCGGGUAAGUUAGAGGGGAAAUUCCGAGGCUCAACCUCGGAAUGGCCUCUGAUACUGUGCGGCUAGAGUGUAGUUGCGGUAGGCGGAAUGUAUGGUGUAGCGGUGAAAUGCUUAGAGAUCACACAGAACACCGAUUGCGAAGGCAGCUUACC